AAGUCGUAACAAGGUUUCCGUAGGUGAACCUGCGGAAGGAUCAUUAACGAGUUCUUGAACAGGUUGUCGCUGGCCCUUUACAGGGUAUGUGCACACCUGGCUCAAUUUCCACUCUUAACCUCUGUGCACUCUUUGUAGGUCGGUUGAUGCUGGCGCAAGUCAGUUUGAAGCCUUCCUAUGUUUUAUUACAAACGCUUCAGUUAUAGAAUGUUUACUUUGCUAUAACGCAAAUAUAUACAACUUUCAGCAACGGAUCUCUUGGCUCUC
rnacentral:misc_RNA from 1 species